rnacentral:rRNA from 1 species
GAGUUUGAUCCUGGCUCAGGAUGAACGCUGGCGGCGUGCUUAACACAUGCAAGUCGAACGAGGAAUUUUAAAUGAGACUUCGGUGGAUUUUAAAAUUCUUAGUGGCGGACGGGUGAGUAACGCGUGGGCAACCUGCCCUGUACAGGGGGGACAACAGCUGGAAACGGCUGCCAAUACCGCAUAAGACCACGGAGCCGCAUGGCUCAGUGGGAAAAACUCCGGUGGUACAGGAUGGGCCCGCGUUGGAUUAGGUAGUUGGUGAGGUAACGGCCACCAAGCCGACGAUCCAUAGCCGACCUGAGAGGGUGACCGGCCACGUUGGGACUGAGACACGGCCCAAACUCCUACGGGAGGCAGCAGUGGGGAAUCUUCCGCAAUGGGCGAAAGCCUGACGGAGCAACGCCGCGUGAGUGAAGAAUUAUUUCGGUAUGUAAAGCUCUAUCAGCAGGGAAGAAAAUGACGGUACCUGACUAAGAAGCCCCGGCUAACUACGUGCCAGCCGCCGCCGUAAC